rnacentral:rRNA from 1 species
ACUCCUACGGGAGGCAGCAGUGGGGAAUUUUGGACAAUGGGCGAAAGCCUGAUCCAGCAAUGCCGCGUGAGUGAAGAAGGCCUUCGGGUUGUAAAGCUCUUUUGUCAGGGAAGAAACGGUGAAAGCUAAUAUCUUUUGCUAAUGACGGUACCUGAAGAAUAAGCACCGGCUAACUACGUGCCAGCAGCCGCGGUAAUACGUAGGGUGCAAGCGUUAAUCGGAAUUACUGGGCGUAAAGCGUGCGCAGGCGGUUUUGUAAGUCUGAUGUGAAAUCCCCGGGCUCAACCUGGGAAUUGCAUUGGAGACUGCAAGGCUAGAAUCUGGCAGAGGGGGGUAGAAUUCCACGUGUAGCAGUGAAAUGCGUAGAUAUGUGGAGGAACACCGAUGGCGAAGGCAGCCCCCUGGGUCAAGAUUGACGCUCAUGCACGAAAGCGUGGGGAGCAAACAGGAUUAGAAACCCGGGUAGUCCCAUGAU